rnacentral:tRNA from 1 species
GCCGACGUGGCGAAAUGGCAGACGCAGCGGACUUAAAAUCCGCUUUCCAGAAAUGGGAGUAUGGGUUCGAGUCCCAUCGUCGGUA